rnacentral:tRNA from 1 species
UUAUUAGCUUAAUUAAAGCAUAGAGCUGUAAAUUCUAGGAUGACAUUGUCA